GAAAGAAAGAAAGAAAGAAAGAAAGAAAGUAUUAUUAGUAGAAGGACUGUAUAUACAGUAUAGAGACAGGGGGUGUAGACAGAUAGAGAGAGAGAUGGAGGGAGAGAGUGUGAAGAAAUGAUUGAGAGCUAGAUGAAGUCUCUGUUACAGCUACAUUAACAGAGAGAGAGAGAGAGAGAGAGAGAGAGAGAGAGAGAAGAGCAACAUCAGACCUUCAGAAUGUUUUCUCAUCCUGCAGAGCGUUUGGAGCAGCGAUCCAUUAACUGAUGGCUAUCUUCCUGUCUUCAUUCCAAGGUGCUCCGUCUCAAACGACGACAUCCCAGCUGGAACAAGAAAAGAUCUGCAGGUUUUAUAGUGGGACGCUUUCCCGUGAAUGUGCUUAGACCUCCCUGAUGUUUCACCCUAGUGUAUAUUCUUUUUCUUACACUGUCAUAGAUUGAUUAUGUAUUAAGUCAAGUCUGUUUUAGAUAAAUGUUCCCAAAAUCA